CAAAGUGCCCACCUUGGUGGCCCGCAGGACGCACUGCACCAGGGCGGCCACACUGCCCGCCUCCCUCAGCACCUUCUUGCUGUUGAUGUCGGCCCGCCAGGAGAGGUUGCGGAGGAUGCUGGACACCACCUGGGCAGGGCAGCUGUGAGGACAUGGCUGGGCGGAGGAAGUUCAGCAUGGGCUCCCACCGCCCCACCAACCUCGCUCUGGGCCUCAGUCUACCCGUCUGUAAAUUGGGGACAACUGGCCCCAGCUCCCAGGCUGUUUCAAGGCCAGGAUGAAGACUGGAAGGAGGCUCAGCUUGCCCCUGCAAGCCUGGAUGAGGAGCGUGCCAGCCCCACCAACCGGCUGCCCCAGGCACCUUGUUGGCCACGUCCCCGAAGGUGAGGUUGGUGAGGGUCAUGCCCGAGUAGCGGCGCAGCGCCAGGUUCAGCGGGUCCCGGGUCAUCUUGUGCAUCUCGUAGUCAACCUGCAGCAGCUCCGCCACGGCCUGCAGCCCACCUGUGGGGACCCGGUGAGGUUGGCAGACGGCGGGACAACCCUGCCUUGCUUCCCCCAGCCUGUGCCCACCUACUGCUCCUGCCCAGAUGCCCUUCCUACCCCCAUACCUCCCCUCUUAAGCCCCCUUCCAGGCUCAACUCUGAGCCCUCCUCCAGCAGCUGGUACGGCCUCACCCUGCUGCCAAACCCACGGGGGGUACCGCCAUUGCCCUGUGACUGCCACCCCUGCCUCCUGCAGCCCUCAGCCUGGCUCACACUUCCUCCAGCCGCUGGGCCGCUGCACCUGCUCCCCCUGCCCGGAAUGCUCUUCCCUGCCCUGUGUGAUAGGUGCCUUAGGGAAGGCCCCCGAGUCACACAAGACCAUCAGAUGGAGAGCUGUGUCCCCAGCACAGAGCUGUGACUUCUCUCCCCUUCAGAGAAGACGGAGGCAAAUGUGUUCUCAGGCCAGGGGUGGGUCAGUGGAGACGCCCUUAGGGGAAGUGAGUUAGGGGCUGUGUCAGAGUGAAAUGGGUACACCAUGUUGACACAGCACGAGUCCCAGCAGCCAGGAUUGGGAGCCACUGGAGUGUCAAUAGGAGCACAAUGUGUCAGUCAGCGCAGCCCAUCCUGCAGCCUCAGGAAGGAGCCGGGCUUCGGCUGGUGCAGCGGCUGAAGCAGGAGAAUCGCCUGACCCAGGAGGCACAGGUUACAGUGAGCCGAGACCGCGCCACUGCACUCCGGCCUGGGCGACAGAGCGAGACUCUGUCUUGAAAAGAAAAAGUUGGCCGGGCGCAGUGGCUCACGCCUGUGAUCCUGGCAGUUUUGGGAGGCCAAGGCAGGUGGAUCACCUGAGGUCAGGAGUUCGAGCACAGCCUAGCCAACUUGGUGAAACCCCAUCUCUAUAAAAUUAAAAAAAGUUAUGGCUCUGAAGAUUUUUGUUUUUUAGAUGGGGUCUGCCUCUUGCCCAGGCUGGAGUGCAGGGGCACGAUCAUGGCUCACGGUACCUUUGACCACCUGAGCUCAAGCAAUCAUCCCACCUCAGCCUCAUAGCUAGCACUAGUUUUUUUUUUUUUUUUUUUUAAUAGUCGUGAGGUCUUACUAUGUUGCCCAGCCUGGUCUCAAACUCCUGGGCUAAAGCGAUCCUCCUGCCUCAGCCUCCCCGAGUGCUGGGAUUACAGUUCUGAGCAGCCUUAUCCUGCCUCAAUUACUGUUACACUGACAAAGAGAAGAUGUUAUGUCCCCAAACAGAACGCCACCCACAGCUCCGAUUCUGUGCAUAUCUUGUAUCUUUGCUGUUUCGUGUUCUGAGCCCCAGGGAAACUGUGGCUGAAAAGCCACCCCCAGAGGCCUUGAACCAAACUGGGAGGCCACAGGCAGCUCAUGGGGAGAGGGGACCCAGAAUGACGGUCCACUCAUAGCAGGUGCUGGGUGACUCCAGGGAGUAUGUCCCUGACUCCAGAAGCUCAAAUGGCCCAGCCUCUGUCCCUUGGCAGCUGAGGAGACACCACCUGCUGGGGGGCUGGAGGAUGGUUCCCCAGAGGAGCUGGGGCACUCACCUAACUCGUUCAUGGCACGGCGGUAUUCCUCAUCAAAGGACAGCUUCAUCACCGCACAGGUGGCCUGGCAGAUCUGCGGCUCGAUGGGGACCGGGGCUGUGGGAAAGGGACCAGAUCAGACCCCUCGUUCCUGAGAACUGUCCCAGUCGACUCCCAAAGGUCCCCACCCCCCAAGCCUGAAGAAUCCCAGGAGCUUUGCAAACGGCUGCAGAGCUGAGACUUCUUUUCCCAACCUCUUUAAGACAGGAUGAAGGGGUGGCCUCCCUCACUCAGCUUGGGAAGGGAUGUGAGGUAGUUCCUGGGGUUAGCUGUGCCCCUGUCCUUUUUAAAAAAAUAAAAAUUGGCCAGGCGCGGUGGCUCACACCUGUAA